UGGAGGAGGAGGUUCCACAAGAUAAUUGCGAAGCUAAGCAACAAGUCACUUGGGAGGUUUGCGUGUCCUUCUUUGCAGAAGCUCUAUUUCAGUUUUCCAGUUGUUCAUGAGACAGUGAAAAUGAACUGCCGAUUCAACACAUCACUCACGGGCUGUCUGAAAGGAGUAGGAACCCCUAAACCAAAAACUACUGGGUUUUUGAAAGACAUAAGAUACAAAUAGAAAUAAAAUCCACUGGUUAUGAAGGGCAGUUGAAAAAGGCAGCCUUAGCUAUAACCUUCACGCAAGCCUGCAAAACUUCAACACUGGCCAUACAACAUAGCUCAUCUUUUUACAGGACUGAAAAACUAUGUUCAAGUCUAAGAAAGUCUACACUGAAAUCCAGGUGCAAAAGAAGUGCAUGAAACAAGGAGCUAAUUUUCUGAAAUGUUCCCACACCUUUUUUUUUUGUUUGUUUCGACUGUUGGUGGAAAAUGCUGUGAGAUUGCCCUGUAAGCCUCGAGAAGCUUCUCAAAGGGAAAAGCUAACACUGACCAGCUGUGGACAUCCUCCCUGCCUCAACCCUUUCUCCAUUACGUACUUCCCAUCUUCUGAAAGACUGAUUCCUGCCUGGUGCCUCCUGCAGAGCCUGGCACCGGGACUAGGAGCUGCCAUUCCAGCACCACUCCCUAGAGUGCUGGCUUCCCAGGAGACCAGACUGAAGGGGAGGUUUGAAGUCCCUCCACACGACACUCCUCCACUGUUCCUUAAAGUACCUCCUGCUGGAACUGAAGUAUCUAUAAGCUUUUUAAUAGACGGCACUCCUGAAUCUUCCUUUCUGGUGAUUCCUGCUUGGUGAUUACUGCUGGGAGACUGUGAGGUAUCAAAGAAUUACAGCAAUUAAAGUUGCAGAGACCUAUGGUAUUUAAUCAUUCCCUCCAUCCUCCCUCCUGAGUAUGGGUAUUCCUUACGCUUUUUUUUCCUGACGUUCUACUUAGUCUAACUUGAAAGCGUGUCAAAUAGCUGGGCAUUCUCUACUUCCCUGGGGAGGUUAUCUCACUGUGACAUGUCGUGAGGCUGGACGUUAACCAAAGUAUUCAGUGUAAUUUUACUUCUUUGAACUUAGUUUUCAGGAUCCCCACAAUGCCAAGCAAUUUGUUUUUUUUCUAGAGUCUGGAAUUGCACCGGUUCUGUUUUCCUCACAUUCAUGGCUCUAGCAUGAUAUUUAACAAUGACAUGCACUGAAAAAAAAGUACCUAUAAUAUUUGCA
rnacentral:lncRNA from 1 species